rnacentral:rRNA from 1 species
UACGUAGGGUGCAAGCGUUAAUCGGAAUUACUGGGCGUAAAGCGUGCGCAGGCGGUUGUGUAAGACAGAUGUGAAAUCCCCGGGCUCAACCUGGGAACUGCAUUUGUGGCUGCACGGCUCGAGUGCGGCAGAGGGGGAUGGAAUUCCGCGUGUAGCAGUGAAAUGCGUAGAUAUGCGGAGGAACACCGAUGGCGAAGGCAAUCCCCUGGGCCUGCACUGACGCUCAUGCACGAAAGCGUGGGGAGCAAACAGG